rnacentral:rRNA from 1 species
UAUGUAGGGUGCGAGCGUUAAUCGGAAUUACUGGGCGUAAAGCGUGCGCAGGCGGCGCGUUAAGACAGGUGUGAAAGCCCCGAGCUUAACUUGGGAAUUGCGCUUGUGACUGGCGUGCUGGAGUGUGGCAGAGGGAGGUGGAAUUCCACGUGUAGCAGUGAAAUGCGUAGAGAUGUGGAGGAACACCGAUGGCGAAGGCAGCCUCCUGGGCCAGCACUGACGCUCAUGCACGAAAGCGUGGGGAGCAAACAGG